AAACCGCCCCCUAAGUUUUGCAACUGUAGCAGUUUUGGCCCCCCAAAGCCAAUUUUUUGUAAUAAAAAUAAAAAUAACAUGUGGCACCUCACUUAGAGUGCCACGUCAGUGUAGACCGAGUCAAAUUGGUCUUGGGGGCCAAAACUGCCACAGAUGCAAAACUUAGGGGGUGGUUU
rnacentral:pre_miRNA from 1 species